CCUACGGGUGACAGCAGUGAGGAAUAUUGGUCAAUGGACGAGAGUCUGAACCAGCCAAGUAGCGUGAAGGAUGACUGCCCUAUGGGUUGUAAACUUCUUUUAUAUGGGAAUAAAAUGUUCCACGUGUGGGAUUUUGUAUGUACCAUAUGAAUAAGGAUCGGCUAACUCCGUGCCAGCAGCCGCGGUAAUACGGAGGAUCCGAGCGUUAUCCGGAUUUAUUGGGUUUAAAGGGAGCGUAGGGGGAUUGUUAAGUCAGUUGUGAAAGUUUGCGGCUCAACCGUAAAAUUGCAGUUGAAACUGGCAGUCUUGAGUACAGUAGAGGUGGGCGGAAUUCGUGGUGUAGCGGUGAAAUGCUUAGAUAUCACGAAGAACUCCGAUUGCGAAGGCAGUUCACUGGACUGCAACUGACACUGAGGCUCGAAAGUGUGGGUAUCAAACAGGAUUAGAUACCCGAGUAGUC
rnacentral:rRNA from 1 species